rnacentral:rRNA from 1 species
UACGUAGGGUGCAAGCGUUGCCCGGAUUUAUUGGGCGUAAAGGGCGCGUAGGCGGCUCGGCACGUCCGUUGUGAAAUCGCCCGGCUCAACUGGGCGGGGUCGGCGGAUACGGCCGAGCUGGAGCAAGCUAGGGGGUAAUGGAAUUCCCGGUGUAGUGGUGGAAUGCGUAGAGAUCGGAAAGAACACCAACGGCGAAAGCACUCUGCUGGGCCGACACUGACACUGAGAGACGAAAGCUAGGGGAGCGAAUGGG